GCGGGAGUAGCUCAGCGGUAGAGCAUCUGCCUUCCAAGCAGAGGGUCGCCGGUUCGAUCCCGGUCUCCCGCUCCA
rnacentral:tRNA from 1 species